UUUUUUAUCCCCAUGGGGACAUUUCCCUCGCAGCAUAUUACAUUCACAUUUACGAACAGACAUUUAUACCAAGAAACAUACAAUCAUUCAUGCAACAGAAAGGCUGGGCAGCGAAAUACAUACAUACCAAUACACAUCUGUUCCAUGCUGCCGAUUUAAGAGGGCAGAUGGCCACUCAGCCAUUUUUUCAAUGAGGACUUAAAGCUAACUACAAUUAAUCAUCUUAAUGCUCAUUGGUAGCCCAUUCUACAGAAUGGCAGCUGAGUACAGGAAGGUGUCCUUCCCCAUUCAGCUCUGACUUGAACCUAAAGGGAACCAAAUCAGUUGUGCUCCUUCCUGUGACGUAAUUAUGGUUUUCCCUAGUACGGGUAAAGUAGUUGCACAGGUACUUUGGGACAACAUUAUAGACAAUCCUGUGAGCUAGACACAAUUUAAUCUGCAAAACUCUCUCUUCUACUCUCAGCCAUCUGAGGCUGAUAAAAUGAGCUGGAAGGAGAUGCGUCCUAGAUGGAAGUUUAAGGAUCAUUCAUACCAAUUUGUUUUGCGAUGUCUGGAACUUCUUUUUGAGAAUCAUAGGUGCACUGGUAUACCAGGAAAGGCAUGCAUAAUCAAAACUAGGAAUACCGCCUAGGGUAAACGUCCCUAUUAAGCCCACGUACCAUAUAAGCCCACUUGCAACUUCUGAGUCAAAUUUUAAAAAACUACAUUAUCAUUUUUUGCUGUGUGAUGUUUUUUCAAAUGAAGCUGCUUGUUACGUAAACGACACUUUUUAUUGUAAGUCAAUCACAUUUAUCGAUAUUGAGUUAUCGAAGCACAUGUGUGGCAUGUGCCUGCUGAUCCCAGAAUAAGUUGCAAAAAAACUUAGGUGAUUUUGGUACCCUCAGAAAAUAACAUUUUUUGUAUAUUUCUACUCCUGUUUUUGGAAAGUACUCACUUGUUAUCAAAAUGUAAGUGAUUAGUGUUUUGAAUGAGACAUGUGUUAGAAUAUUACCUGAAUUAGAAAUAUUGUGUCUUUUGAAAUCAAAAUAUGAGUUUUAGCACGCUAGCAAACAGACCACAUGCUGCAUCAAUACAGUAGCUACAUAGUAUGGUUCAUUGCAAUGACAUAAAGCAUGAUAAUCAUGUAUGGUUUAUAUUUUUGUAUGCAGUUUAUAUUAUUAUACUGUUAAAUAGACAAUAAAUGUGUAUGUUUAUCUUUAUUUAUUUUUUAAUUAACAUUUUUACCUGGUGGGCUUAAAGGGGACUCUAGCAAAAGAAUCACACUGACUGAGGUGGAUGUAAAUGAGUAUAGCUAAUUACUUCUUUACAUGAUCAAUUAAUACUUUUCAUAUUAUGUUAGUGCACCAUAUAUACAUUUAGUUCAUAUAGUUGUUUUUUAAUGUCAUGUGACUAGAAUAAAAUAUUCUGUCUUUUAACCAUAAAUUCACUGAUGUUCCCUUUAAGCCCACCUGUUCCCAUUAAGCCCACUUUACUGUGUUUCAGUGGGGAUUUUCUCCCUUUUGGCCUUUGAACCAUUUUCCUCCCUAAUUUUGACCUCACCUGAUGAAUCAGCUCCAUAAUUCAGAUAAUUAAUACCCACAUUUAAAUAUCAGUGAUAUUGCAUAGGUCAAUUCAUUCUGGAUAGGCCUGUGUUCUAUCUUAACAUUAGCAAUAAUUUUUUAAUCUUUACUUUUCAGAUGAGUUUUAGUUUAAGAUGACUAAAGCACGAAAGAAAUACAGUUCAUGCCCAUGCAUGAUAGAAACGCAAGUUCAUCCUCUGCAAAGCAGGGCUGUAGGGACCUGGACCAUUCUAUUUGCGCAAUCAUGAGGUCGUUGAAAAUCUACAAAAACAAGAUGAAAGCCACGAAUGACUUGUUAGCGUAAGACAAAGACAACCACAACGUGGGCAACAGAUUGAAACAAACAAAUAAAAGAAAGCUUAGACCACCCUAUAACCUAUGUUAUGUUACACUACUAAGAUGGCGCAUGGAGCAAAUGAUAGCCUUACUAAAAACGAUACAAUCACCUCAAAGAGCAUAGGCCUACGUUUAGUCUAGGAGAAAGUAGAAAUUGCAGAAAUGUUGACAUCUUUCUUGUUUAUUUUGUUUAAGUUAUAGGCUAAUGAUACAUGAGCUUCAAUAUGUUAUGCCUGAUGUCUCCUCAUAAUGAACUGUAUGUUUUAAUGUUACUCCACAAUGAACUGAAUGGUUUUAAAAUGUGUUUUUACAAAGUUUUCAAACUACUAUCCUAAAUGUGAUUAACAUUUGAAAAGUUAUUGUUCAAUUGUAAAUCCUGAAAUUGACUCAUUUACUAUCCUUAGAACAUUAGUAUUGAACCUGAAAUAGUUUUUCGUUCAGUCAGUCGGUCUUCAGAAAUCUUCAUAAAAACACCUGCACUUUCAACCAGCUGACUGGACCAGAAAUUUUGGCCAAUUUCAAAUGCCAAAAGCACACAGUAGGAUAGAGAUACAGACAAAAUGACAACACAUAUUGAAAGAUGAAGUAUUGAAGAGUAAUUUCCACUAUAGUUUUGAUUUUGUUCGUAAAUAGUUUUUUGGCUACAUUCCAAAGAAGACAUCUGGUCAUGCCUAUUUCAAAUGCCAUUUACAGGCCAUAGUAUAGGAGUGGAGACAAAAUGAAAAUAGCUAUUGAGAGCUAAGAGAUUACAGAUUUGAAUAGAACAAGUUUGUAUUGUUAAGAUUUUUUAAAUAUAUAUUUAUUUAUCAACAAAUCAUGAAGUGGGCUUAUUUGGAACACCCAUGUACGUUAGGUACCCAUUAAGCCCAUGCCAGACUUUUGACAUAUUUUGACAAAUUAAACAAUAAAAACAUUAGAAAUUGGUAUAAAUGAAUUAUUGACACUUCAAAUGAGAGAUUAGACUUUCAUUUUAACUAAAAUGUUCUCACUUUAAUUGGGGCAGUAUACAUUAAAAAUGUCUGAAAAGCGGAUUUGGUGGGCUUAAUAGGGACGUUUACCCUACAUAUUGUA